UACGGGGGGAGCAAGCGUUGUUCGGAUUUACUGGGCGUAAAGGGCGCGUAGGCGGCCACCGCAAGUCGGUUGUGAAAUCUCUGGGCUUAACCCAGAAAGGUCAACCGAUACUGCGGGGCUAGAGUGCAGAAGGGGCAACUGGAAUUCUCGGUGUAGCGGUGAAAUGCGUAGAUAUCGAGAGGAACACCUGCGGCGCAGGCGGCGUCCUGGACCGGCACUGACGCUGAGGAGCGAAAGCGUGGGGAGCGAGCCGG
rnacentral:rRNA from 1 species